rnacentral:SRP_RNA from 1 species
GCCUUAGUCCCAGGUACUCAGGAGGCUGAGGCUGGAGGAUUGCUUGAGCCCAGGAGUGCUGUGCUGAUGGGAUGUUUGCACUAAGUGCAGCAUCAAUGUGGUGACCUCCUGGGAACAGGAGACUCCCAGGUUGCCUAAGGAGGGGUGACCUGGCCCAGGUCAGAAACAGAGCAGGUCAAAACUCCCUUGCUGAUCAGUAGUGGGAUCGCACCUUUGAACAGCCACUGCACUCCAGCCUGAGCAACAUAGUGAGACCCUGCCUUU